CUUGCUCUGUGGAUCAGUGGCGAACGGGUGAGUAACACGUGAGCAACCUGCCCCUGACUCUGGGAUAAGCGCUGGAAACGGCGUCUAAUACCGGAUAUGAGCUGCGAUCGCAUGGUCAGCAGUUGGAAAGAUUUUUCGGUCUGGGAUGGGCUCACGGCCUAUCAGCUUGUUGGUGAGGUAAUGGCUCACCAAGGCGUCGACGGGUAGCCGGCCUGAGAGGGUGACCGGCCACACUGGGACUGAGACACGGCCCAGACUCCUACGGGAGGCAGCAGUGGGGAAUAUUGCACAAUGGGCGAAAGCCUGAUGCAGCAACGCCGCGUGAGGGAUGACGGCCUUCGGGUUGUAAACCUCUUUUAGCAGGGAAGAAGCGAAAGUGACGGUACCUGCAGAAAAAGCGCCGGCUAACUACGUGCCAGCAGCCGCGGUAAUACGUAGGGCGCAAGCGUUAUCCGGAAUUAUUGGGCGUAAAGAGCUCGUAGGCGGUUUGUCGCGUCUGCUGUGAAAUCCCGAGGCUCAACCUCGGGUCUGCAGUGGGUACGGGCAGACUAGAGUGCGGUAGGGGAGAUUGGAAUUCCUGGUGUAGCGGUGGAAUGCGCAGAUAUCAGGAGGAACACCGAUGGCGAAGGCAGAUCUCUGGGCCGUUACUGACGCUGAGGAGCGAAAGGGUGGGGAG
rnacentral:rRNA from 1 species